rnacentral:rRNA from 1 species
AGUCUGACCUGCCCAAUGAUUUAAUUUAAUGGCCGCAGUAUUUUGACUGUGCAAAGGUAGCAWAAUCAUUAGUUUCUUAAUUAGAAACUGGAAUGAAGGGUUGAACGAAAAAAUAUCUGUCUCUUUAUUAAUGAUUUAGAAUUUUAUUUUUAAGUAAAAAAGCUUAAAUAUUUUAGAAAGACGAGAAGACCCUAUAGAGUUUUAUAUAUUUUGUAUUAUUCUAAAUUUAGAAUUUUUUUUAUUAUUAUAGUUUGCAAUGUAUUUAGUUGGGGUGAUUAAAAAAUUUAAAAAACUUUUUGUUAGUAAAUCAUUAAUUUAUGAUUAUUUGAUCCAUUAUUUAUGAUUAUAAGAUUAAAUUACCUUAGGGAUAACAGCGUAAUUUCUUUGGAGAGUUCUAAUCGAUAAAGAAGUUUGCGACCUCGAUGUUGGAUUAAAAUAAAUUUUUAAUGUAGUAGUUAAAAUA